GAGAGAUCGAUAAUGUCGAUAAAAUACACACACUCAAAUACAUGAUCGCGAAUAAUUAUUUAAAAAUAUACCACAAAUACAUAUUCUACUCUUGUACGUUUGUUAGAUUACUUUUCCCCUCAUUUUUCUUUCACGGUUUCUUCCACAACAAGACCUCCUGUCAAAGAUAAAGACGUAGUUUUGUAAUUAAGUUUGGAUAUCGCUAGUGUACGAAGUUGUAUGUCGUGCGAUGCUUAUAUACAUUCGAGGAGAACAUCUGUCAUUUCUCUAUGCAUAGUAGGCGACUUAUCGCGAGAUUGUAUGUUGGAUAGAAACAAUACAUUCUAUAGACGUUCUGCGCUAUCAAGCAAAUCUCCUAGUCUAUAUUCUACCGCGUUCUUCAACAGAACGAUUAUUUCGGCCCUUUCGAGUGCCGUAAGCAGUUCGCGCGUGUUUCUUCCCUUCCAAAUAAUUUUUCGCUUUCCAAUUCCUCUUAUACAUUACCAUCGAACAUCUCAGAUCAUGUAAGUGUCAAUAAAAUUAUAAUAAUUAUAUGAUAUUAAUUACAAUGGUAUGAAGUGCAAUCUAAAAAAAGAGAUAAAAUAAGCCAACAAGAUGCGAACAACUUUUUGGACCGAUGCAAAAUUACAUCGACCCAUCACGAUUCAUGUCAAAUCUCCUAAAAGCAAUCUACAAUUAAGUAGAUUCGAUACAUUGAAGACCGAUGUAGAAAAUCCAGAAGUAUCCGAUCCGAACGUAUCUUUGGUGAACAAUUUUAAUCCGGCUACCGAUAGUUUUCACGCGUCGAUCAGACCGAUCAUCUUGUUGGCGAAUUGCUUUUCGAUACUUCCAGUUUCCGGUGUCAACAGUCCGGAUGCAUCUUACUUAAAAUUCACCUGGUAUAGUCCAAAAUUAUUGUACACCAUCGUAUUCUUUUUAAGCACAACUGUUAUGACCGUAUUAAAUGCUUUACAAUUCACUACGGGUAUAAAUUCCAUGAAGAUGACAACUGGUUUAGUUUUCUAUGGCACCUCUCUCAUCGCGUCUCUCCUAUUCCUAAAACUCGCCAAAUUAUGGCCUUGCUUGGCGUUAACGUGGGAAAAAGUCGAACGAGAGUUCAUGUUUAGACAUCGGAGAAUUUCUCGAAUAAGUCUUGCCGGUAGAUUUAAAUUAACUACCGCCAUCGUGAUGAUUCUCGCAUUGGUCGAACAUUCAUUAUCUAUACUUAAGGGUUCCUUUUAUGCAAUGGCAUGUGCAAAAUAUCGAAGUGAUUCCGACGUUAUCGCAGAAUAUUUUGAAUCACAAUACACACAGGUAUUCUCGCAAAUGUCCUACAGUCUAUGGAAAGCUAUAUUAGUGGAAAUAGUUAACUUGCUAAGCACCUUCUCAUGGAACUUUGUCGAUCUUUUCUUGAUCCUCGUAAGCAUGGCUCUGGCAGAUCAAUUUCAACAAUUGAAUAGUCGUCUUAAUUCUGUUAGAGGAAAGGCAAUGCCGGACUGGUGGUGGGCCGAGGCUAGAAACGAUUACAAUCAUCUGGCUGGUUUGACCAGACGAGUCGAUUCUCAUAUUUCAACAAUCGUUUUUCUCUCGUUUGCGACCGAUCUAUACUUCAUUUGCAUUCAGUUGCUAUUCUCUUUCAAUUUACAACGCAAUCACAUACAGAAGAUAUACUUUUGUUUUUCCUUUGGAUUUCUUCUCACGAGGACCACGGCUGUAUCCUUAUAUGCAGCUUCCGUUAAUGACGAAUCCCGUUUGCCGGCACCGAUACUUUACAGCGUUUCGAGUGCCAGCUAUUCCACUGAGGUAAUGAGAUUUUUGACCCAAGUCACAACCGACAAUAUAAGCCUGACUGGAAUGAAAUUUUUCUCUGUUACGAGAGGCCUCGUCUUGACGAUUGCGGGCACUAUCGUCACUUAUGAGCUAGUAUUGGUACAAAUAAAUAAUAUACAACAAACGGUCCAGUCUAACAUUACGAACAUUUGCGAGGAUUGGCUAUAUUAAAAAGUAAAAAAAAAAAAAAAAAAAAAAAAGAGAAAAACAACUUACCGCUAACAUAAAGUUCCUCGUGAUGGAAAAGAAACGUAAGCCUGUCAGUGAGAUAUCGUCGGUGGUGGACGAAGAACAAUUAUACAAUAAUGGGAGUACCGUUUUACUUUGAUCAUUUAUUCUGGCGGUCAAUAAAGUUACGGCACACGUUCGAAGAAUGAGGAAGGCAAAAGAACCAAAGAAGUAAAGAUUACUCAAAAUAUCGUCGCCUUCAGGACCGCUUCGAAUGAAAAAGCAAAUGAGAUUUUAAACGUCCUUACGUCCAAAUCUAAUUCGUAGUUUCAUAUAAUGCGUCUUGUAUGUUACGUUAUCAUAGUUGACUUACGAUAUUCCAUUCAAUAAUUGUAAACAAAUAAAGUAGAGAUUAUUUGCGAAGGAAA